UCAUUAUCGUACAAAAUGUGUGAGGCGUGCAAGGGCUGUCGCUGACUUUUAACGCAAAAGUCGUGCACGCCGGAGUGUGUCCUCUCACAUAAAAUCCAUCUCACCCUUUUGUGCACCACCGCGUGGGCACCCUUCGGGAUCGCGAACCGGUCCAGGAGGGGGCUUGCGUUUUCACACAAACCCCUUUUUAAAAGUGUAGAAUGACCCCAUUUUUGCGAUAACACGCAAUCAAUACAACUUUCAACAACGGAUCUCUUGGCUCUCGCAUCGAUGAAGAACGCAGCGAAAUGCGAUACGUAAUGUGAAUUGCAGAAUUCAGUGAAUCAUCGAAUCUUUGAACGCACCUUGCGCCCCUUGGUAUUCCGAGGGGCACACCCGUUUGAGUGUCGUGAAAAUCUCAACCUUCUUGGUUUCUUCUGGACACCGAAGGAGGCUUGGACCUUGGAGGCCUUUGCUGGCGUCUCUCUCUUUUGAGAGCCAGCUCCUCUUAAAUGAAUUAGCGGGGUCCUCUUUGCUGGUCCUUGACAUGUGAUAAGAUGUUUCCAUGUCUUGGUUUCUGGCUCUGUUGCUUUUGGGACCCGCUUCUAACCGUCUCGACGAGACAACGUUCGAGCGCGUCUCCCUUCUCGGGAGACCCUCUCGACCUCACGAACCCU
rnacentral:rRNA from 1 species